CCUACGGGAGGCUGCAGUAGGGAAUAUUGCUCAAUGGGGGAAACCCUGAAGCAGCAACGCCGCGUGGAGGAUGAAGGUUUUAGGAUUGUAAACUCCUUUUGUGAGAGAAGAUAAUGACGGUAUCUCACGAAUAAGCACCGGCUAACUCCGUGCCAGCAGCCGCGGUAAUACGGCGGGUGCAAGCGUUACUCGGAAUCACUGGGCGUAAAGAGUGCGCAGGCGGGCUUGUAAGUCAGAUGUGAAAUCCUGUAGCUUAACUACAGAACUGCAUUUGAAACUAUGAGUCUAGAGUGUGGGAGAGGUAGGUGGAAUUCUUGGUGUAGUGGUAAAAUGCGUAGAUAUCAAGAAGAAUACUCAUUGCGAAGGCGACCUACUGGAACAUUACUGACGCUCAUGCACGAAAGCGUGGGUAGCGAACAGGAUUAGAUACCCCAGUAGUC
rnacentral:rRNA from 1 species